GCUCUCUUCAGCAGUGCUUAUACUAAAACUGAAACGAUGCAGAGAAGAUUAGCAUGGCCCCUGAGCAAGGAUGAUGCAAAUUCAUAAAGCAUUCCCUACUUUAUU